CAGCCCUUAAAAUUUCACCUUAAUUUCACCUGUGAGUUCCAGACUUAGUCAUCUCCUAAAAUGAUUUGUAAUCUUUUUCCCCCUACUAAUGGUUCAUAUGUUAAAAAAUAAGCAAAAUCCAAGAAAAAGUUUUCUCACAAAAUAACCUUUUAAUCAAAUUAAUGUUUAACAUUUGUUCUUGCUAUUGUCUAGCUUUUCUUAAAUGCACACUCAAUUACUACAUAUUUGCAAUAACACUGUAGAAUUUUAUAUUUGACAUUUUCAUUUGACAUUAUUCCAUGUCUAUUGUUCUGUGUUGUUUUAGUCUUUCUUACCUUUUUUGUGCCCACUUCUUUCCCCUAACCACCUCCAAAUACUCUCUGCCCAAUGUAUCCUAAUUCCACUCAAUUCUCAUGAAACCACAUACAAAUGUAUAUAUGUAUAAUUUGUUUAUUGUUUGAUAAAAGUGAAUCACAUUCCAUAAACUUCCUAUUUACUUUCCUCAUUUGAUGGUACACCAUGGAUAUAUUUCCAGGUCAAUAGAUCUAGAUCCAAUUCACUGAAAAUAAACCUGCCAAAUAUAAUUGUUUUGCUGCUAAUUCAACCUUUAUUGAUGGACAUCAGGAUUUUCCAGUUACCAUCAACAAUAUCACAAUAAACAUUCUUGUAUGUACAUCCUUUAUAGAAGUAUGUAUCUAUUACUUCUGUAGAAUAUGUUCUUGGUUUGUUGGGUUAAAGGUAAGUGUAGCCGAGCAUGGUGGCUUACGCCUGUAAUCCCAGCACUUUGGGAGGCCAAGGUGGGCAGAUCAUGAGGUCAAGAGAUCGAGACCAUCCUGGCCAACCAACAUGCUGAAACCCCGUCUCUACUAAAAAUACAAAAAUUAGCCAGGCGUGGUGGCACACACCUGUGUUCCAGUUACUCAGGAGGGUGAGG
rnacentral:lncRNA from 10 species